AGGUAUGAGGUCGAAAUGGACAAGACACCGCACUGUCACUGCGGAGAUAGCGGGUUCGAUCCCCGUCAUACCUG
rnacentral:tRNA from 1 species